rnacentral:rRNA from 1 species
UACGUAGGGAGCAAGCGUUGUCCGGAAUCAUUGGGCGUAAAGCGCGCGUAGGUGGCUUCGUAAGUCCGGUGUGAAAGUCAAAGGCUCAACCUUUGAAUGCCGAUGGAUACUGCGGAGCUAGAGUACGGAAGAGGCGAGUGGAAUUCCUGGUGUAGCGGUGGAAUGCGCAGAUAUCAGGAGGAACACCAAUAGCGAAGGCAGCUCGCUGGGACGUUACUGACACUAAGGCGCGAAAGCGUGGGGAGCAAACAGG